rnacentral:rRNA from 1 species
AUUGAACGCUGGCGGCAUGCCUUACACAUGCAAGUCGAACGGCAGCGGGGGAGAAGCUUGCUUUUCCUGCCGGCGAGUGGCGAACGGGUGAGUAAUACAUCGGAACGUGCCCUGUAGUGGGGGAUAACUAGUCGAAAGAUUAGCUAAUACCGCAUACGACCUGAGGGUGAAAGUGGGGGACCGCAAGGCCUCCUGCUAUAGGAGCGGCCGAUGUCUGAUUAGCUAGUUGGUGGGGUAAAGGCCUACCAAGGCGACGAUCAGUAGCUGGUCUGAGAGGACGGUCAGCCACACUGGGACUGAGACACGGCCCAGACUCCUACGGGAGGCAGCAGUGGGGAAUUUUGGACAAUGGGCGAAAGCCUGAUCCAGCAAUGCCGCGUGUGUGAAGAAGGCCUUCGGGUUGUAAAGCACUUUUGUCCGGAAAGAAAUGGCUCUGGUUAAUACCUGGGGUCGAUGACGGUACCGGAAGAAUAAGGACCGGCUAACUACGUGCCAGCCGCCGCGGUAA